rnacentral:rRNA from 1 species
CAGUAGCCGCGGGAAUACGUAGGGUGCGAGCGUUAAUCGGAAUUACUGGGCGUAAAGCGUGCGCAGGCGGUUAUAUAAGACAGAUGUGAAAUCCCCGGGCUCAACCUGGGACCUGCAUUUGUGACUGUAUAGCUAGAGUACGGUAGAGGGGGAUGGAAUUCCGCGUGUAGCAGUGAAAUGCGUAGAUAUGCGGAGGAACACCGAUGGCGAAGGCAAUCCCCUGGACCUGUACUGACGCUCAUGCACGAAAGCGUGGGGAGUAAACAGGAUUAGAUACCCCGGUAGUCCCUGUCUCUUAUAC